AAGGACUUUAAAACAAGGAAAAAUAG
rnacentral:piRNA from 1 species